UGAAAAGCAGAGAAAAAAUAAAAACAAGAAAUAUUACAGGUAGCCAAGUGGAAUCACAAGUAACAUCUGUGUUGCAGCGUACAUUAUGGGGUUUUGUGGACAUGUGCACUUCCAGCGUACCUCAUUAAGAAGACAUGUCCAAAGAGACUUUUAAAUGGACCAGACCACCCAUUCGGAGUCGAGUUAUUUAGCGCCAUUAAUUAGAUAUUUGCGGAAAGUUACCAAGGAAUUAUCCAUACAUGAUUCGAUCUGAAAACACAUCGGAUGCAAUCUCACACGGUUUCUGUUCACUUCUGCAGACAAUCCGUUGUGGAUGUGAAUUAGUAUGCAGAGUUGAUAGUGCCCUGAAUAAUCCGCUUUUUGCCUCUAUGAGUUGAAUUUGAUGGAAUAGCAAAAAAGGUUAAGUCUAUGCAUAUCUUCAAGAGAUAAUUCCAACCAAAGUAAUGUGUAAAUCACAGUAGCCAUGCAUGUCUAUCACAUUUACGCAUGUAAACAAUUGUAAGCUUGUUAAAAUUGGUUUAAAGUUUUUGUGCAGUGAAUGAAGCAGAAUCUUUAAGAAGGCGAAAAUUCGUACCCGCGGUUGUAAUUUCAAGGUGGAAUGUGUGAAACAUUUCUUUCCAAGCGGCAUGCAUUUCAUCAGCAUCGAAUUAGAUUUCGGCUUGUUGAUCAUUAUCAUUUCGCGCAGUUUCAAAAUUUUCUUUAAAAUUUAUCAACAUUUUGAAAUUUUAUCAGAGUUUCGCCUCAUGGAUAAGCUGUUGUCUGGAUGACAAACAAUGAAUUCUUCCAUAGACUGUAUGACUACAUAUAAUAUCUAAUAACAGAGAAGUUAAUCAAUUCGAUGUAUGUAAGACCGGUGGCCACCAAUUCGGGUAAUCAUAUGAUUUGAAUUCAAUAACAUUAAACGGAAUGGGUGCCAAGGUCUUUUGAAUCAAUUCAAAAACGAUUUUUUGCGAAAUCUAAAUUUCUAUUAUUGUUUUUUCUGCUCUUCGCCGACUACUGUUGAUUUCGUACUAUUCGAUUUAAACGUGUAUUACACGGAGAUUCCAUGGAUAAAAAGAUAAAUUGUAAGCUUUUAUGUGGAUCUAGUGUGACGGAUGUUCGUUAAAUUUGGUUUAAUUUGUAUUUGCAUUAGGAGAAAUCUUUUAUAUUUUGAUUAACAUUUUGGCGUUAGAUCUUGAUGCAACAAUUUUGAUUGAAUAAUA